rnacentral:lncRNA from 1 species
CACAGGAGGCUCCUUGGAACCCGACAAUGGCGUCGUCCCUGCAUCUAAACUUUAGAAUCUGAGGGUGGCAACACCAGCUUCACAAGAACAAAGUGGUCUUCCCUUCACCCUCAGUGGAGUUCUCUGGGAAGCUCCCAGGGGCCAGGGAGCGAGCUCUACAGUCCCUAAGAAGGGGGAUAAUGUGAAGACUGUCUCACCACGAGAACUCUGACGCAAGAACUCUUCAAGGGCAGAGGAAGAUUGCCAACUCUUGAGCCAAGAUACAUACUGUGUCCAACUUCCAUCGUGGCAGUCAUUGAGAUUGAGGCCUGUGUUCCUGAAAGCCUCGUCUCUGACACCAGCUGCCAAAGUGCCUGAGACCCGUUCAACCCAGAAGUGGAUACAAGGCAUCUUCAAUCCCCAAGACAGAAGACUAGCAAUGGCUUCACCCAGCAGCUGACUUGGACAGAUGCAGAUACCCACAGCCAAACAUUGGAGGGCACUUGGGAACUCUCAUGUAAGAGCUAGAGGAAGAACUGAGGGCGCUGAAGGGGAUAGCAACUCCACAGGAAGACCAACAGAGUCAACUAACCUGGACUCUUGAGGGUUCCCUGAGACUGAACCACCAUCCAAAAAGCAUACACAGGCUGGACCUACGUACGCCACACAUUUGUAGCAGAUGUGCAGCUUCGUCUUGAUGUGGACCCCCCAACAAAUGGAGUUGGAGCUAUCCGUAAAGCUGCUGCCUGUCAGUGAAAUAUGUUCCCCUAACCGUGCUGCCUUGUCUGGCCCCAAUGGGAGAGGAUGUGCCUAGCCCUACAGAGAUUUGAUGUAUCAGAGUUGGGGAAUACCCAGGAUGGGGAGGCUCUAUCCUCUCAGAGGAUAAAGAGGAGGACAGGCGAAAGGAAUGUAAAGUGAAAAAACAAAGACACAGAAGGACAAAGACCUGACUGCUUGAUUUACAUGCUGGCCAGGUGGGCUGAGUGUUCAGCAGAGCUCAGGCAAGUGUUCAGAUACUCCAUGGAAUAUUUUGCAGUGAGUAGACACCUGGGUCAGACAGAUAUACCUGUGACUAGAUGUCAAUGGGUUCUGAUUUUAUAAACAUAAAACAUCAAACAGCGGUGUGCUUUUUAUACCUACUGAAAUGCAUGUACAAGUACGCAUGUGUACAGACACACACACACACAAAUUUUUAAAAACCCAAGUAAUUCAAAAUCUGUUUCCAAAAGGUCAGUCAUAUGAUCAAAAUGAGAAUGAGCACAGGGAAAAUUUUUAAAAGGGAGGCCAUGACUGGGAACACAUUUAAUUAAACCAUCCUUACACUAAGAGGGGUUUUUGUAUGUUUUGUUUUGUUUUUUUUUCUACCAAGCAUAACAGUUUAUACCUAUAGUCCUACUUGGGAGACUGAGGCUGGAGGACUAUGAGCUUGAGAUCAGCUUUGGGUUACACAGUGAAACACAUAUAUUAAUAAAGAUGAAGAUGAUGAAGAGAAGGGAAAAAUAGAAAUGGCACGGACACUGGCCAGCCUUUCUCUCACCCUCUGUCACCAGUUCUGAAAGGAGUCACAUAACAAAACUGGAGGGUCAGAUGAACUUUCAGGC